UAGUAGUGGUUUAUGGUUUCAUUCUGAUUUCAUUUCUUUUGUAGAGUGAAGCACCCACGUGAAACAAGAAGAUAUGUGGCAUGCCUGAAAGAUGUAGUAACUGUUAUCUCCCACAUUUGGGACCGAAGCUGUACACACAGAGUGCUCUGAAAUCAGUUGGCUCUUGAAUGCUGCACCUAAUUGAGGGAAAACAAGGACACCUGCCCGGGGCCUGAUUUUUUAACAACUGCUACUGGCCUGAGAUGUCCUCGGGACCAAUUAGGAGACUUAAAUAGAGUCUUUCUGUGACCCCUUGAAUUUACAUGGGGAAACACAUUUAAAUCAAUAGGUAUUAAGAUUCAUGAUGGACAAGGACAAAGAUGUGCAGUUGGUGUGCACGCUGGGCCACGCCUGUGAGGUGUGACCUGCUCAGAGCUGAAAAUGGAACCUUUCUCCAGCCCUCUCCUACCCUCACCAAAGGGUUUACAGCUCCAUACCCCAGCACUCUGGGGUGGCACCUGAUCCUUACCUGCUGAUCUCCAGCUGGUUCCACCUUCUCAGCGGAGGGCUGGGGAUGGAUGGGUCCCCAAGGACAUGGUAACUUCAUCCUGGUGUUCAACCUUUGCAUUCAUUACAAAAAACCAGCCAUAUGUGGAUUUAUGGAAGAAAGUGAGCUCUCCAAAAUUCCUUACUUUGACUUGCACUGUAAGCUAUUAUCACAGCCAUUAGUCUCAUACCAUCAAGAGGGUGAGAUAACAGAUGAGCUGGAUUUUGUCUAAUCUGCCUUCAAAGUAAUGAGAAAUAAUGACACUGAAAAGGAAAUUCUGCAGAGAAUCUGCAGAGCAGCCUCAGCUUGAAAUUGUUUGAGAAAUUCAGGCCCCAAAGCCUAACUGGAUACAAGGAUUUCCCCAUCAAGCAGCCCCACUCUGCUCCAGGACCAACCUGGAGAUUGAAGAUUGUUUGAAAGUCAUGAACAGAAGAACAUUAGGCUGAGUAAAUGAUGAAGUUGCUCUCCUACCUAUACUAAACUGCAAUCUUUUCAAGAGAAUUGUUUGCAGUGCCAUCAUGUUUCUGUUGAUUUGAAGCAGAAAGUUAUCCAGCACUCACCUACAGACUUCACAGGACAAAGACUCCUUCAUGUUGCUUAUUCUCACAGGCUACAUCUGUUUUCACUUGCAC